ensembl:lncRNA
AGCGCGUCACGGCGGGCGGGUGGGGCUGGCGGGAAGACCGCGAGGGAGGGCGCGUCUGGGGGCACCGGUGACCCGCGGGUGGGGGUAGAAAGCUUGGGCCGAGCCAGCGACGGGGAGAGUCGGCGAGUCCGCUUCAGAGUCCAGGCUGUGACAGGAGGGCAGGGGCCUGCAGGGAGCCUUAGGUGCGGCGCCGGCCCCCGGGAGCGGCAGGUACCGCGCGGCGCGACCCCGGGACCUCGGGCGCCGCGGGAGGGAGGCAGGGAGGGGCCCCAGCGAGGAGCCCAGCCCACCCGAGCAGGGUCAGGGUCACCCGAGGCGGCACCCGCGGAUCCCGGGCCACCACGCCGGCAGGAAGCCGUCCCAGGACCCAAAGGUGAUGCCAGAGAUUCAAUGAGGCUAAGAAACGAAACUGUGCCCUGGAGCCAGGGGUAGAGGGAGACCUGUCUGCUCUUAUGACUUGCUGUGACACAGAUUGCCUCCCAACCUUGCUGACUCUCUACAGGGCCCCACUGUCUGACCCGCUCCCACCCGUGAGGGCAGAAUGGGGACACACAGGACCUGUUCCCCUGGACUUUGAAGAGCCCUGUGGAAUACUUUGUAUAAUGACAGAGCUAAGGAUAGAUGUUAGCUGGGGUGAAUACCAGCCCUGCCUAACAGAAAGGGAAGCUAAAACAGAGGCUAGAACUUGGCCUAAUUUAACACACAGCCCCAGGGGCCAGGUGCUGCCUGACUGCCCACUGCUCCCUGGAUUCUGCUGAAUGAGGAGGGAGAGGAAAGGGGCACUUGCCCUUCUUGGAAUCCCCUGCCCUCCAGGGUACCUGUACUUCAUUCACUAAGGUACAGCUCAUGAGAACCUGAGGCUAGUUUUCAGGACCCCUCAUUUGGAGGACCAGUUGCUUAAUGGGAGAACCUUGAGUUGCACAGAGCAAGACUUAAAGACAGCAUCGAUGCAUCUUGUGUCGAACCCUUUUACAAAUGGCCUGCAAGUUCUACCUGAAGGAUUCCACAAGGGUCUUACCGGCCUUUAAGCUAUUUCAUUGACCACUUAGUCAGAUGGGACUGUCCUUUGCCCAGUGCUGAGCUGCCGAGACAGCUACACAGGGAAACCAGAUCAAGUCCUUCCUUUUGUCUGAAAUUCCACCUCCCCAUCUCCACCCAGAUACAGUUUUAGGAAAGAGAUGAACUGCAAAACAAAUGUUUCUCUGGCCUUCAUACACUGUCAAUAUUCAGCCUAUAGUAUGAAAGGAUGACUUCUGCCCUGUUACUUCCAGACUAAGCCCAAGAGGACAAGGGACACUCAACAGGCUACACUGUUGAUUUUAUCAAAGAGAGAGUACAUCCACCCCAUCCAUUCAUUCAACAUUACUGUACCUACUGUGUGUUGGGCAGCAUGCCAGAGCCUUGAAGUGAGAAGAUAGUACUUAGAGUUUCCACUUUUAAGGAGCCCGAGUCUGGCAGAUAGACAGCUACAGAAACAAACUGCAGUUCAGAAUAGCAGUGAGACCAUAUCGAGGAGGGAGCAGGAAUUCAUCCCCCAGGAGUCACCUGGGAAGCCAACACCUCAGAAGUGAUGCUUAAGCAGGGGUCUUAACACUAAUUAGAAGUUCCCAGGGAGAUGGUAUUUUGGCCAAAGGAAAAAUGGCAGGUCGGAGGAACAGCAUUUAAUGGGGAUUAUGGUACUGUACAUCAAAGGUGCACUCUCUCCUAUAGCAGUAGGAAGCCAUUUUUUGGUCUUUUUAUUUUGUGGUUUGUUUGUUUGUUUGUUUUGAGACAGCAUUCCUGUAUGUAGUCUAGGCUACCCUUGAACUUGCUAUAUAUCCCAGACUGGGCUCAAACUCACAAUCCUGCCUCAGCUUCCCGAGUGCUAGAAUUACAGGCAUACACCACCACACUGGGUCAUUUUUAUUGUUUAUUAAGUGGGGAAAGGGUACAGUCAGGUUUGUGUUUAGACAAAGAAUUAAUGGCCAGAUGCAGGCUAGCUUGGAAGAUGAGAAGUAGAUAAUGAGGACCUCCCUGAAGACAAUGGAAAUAGAAACUGAUGAAAAGGAAUGGAUUUUAGUGGUGUUUAGGAAGUAGAACCAAAAGUAUCUAGUGACUAAGGGUAUGCAGGGAGGAAUGAGUGAGACAGAGGGUGCUGUAAGGGGCCAUUCAUGGAAAUUAUAAAAGCCAGAGGAAGCUGUCUGGGGACAGAUGGUGGGAGAAGGCAGCAGUUAGAGCUGUAGUCGUAUUUAAGUUGGAUAUGCCCUCAGAGGUGUCACGGGGAGGUGGAAGGUGGGCACUUGGGAAUACAGGUCUGGAGCCCAGGCAGAGGUCAGGGCUACUCCAGUGUAACUGCUGUGCAGAAAAGCAGUCUUGAAGACAACUAAAGAGGCCUGUGAUGGUGCUGUCAGCGAGGCCACAUGGACCCUGAAGAGCCUUGACUCUCAGUAGUGACACCUGUAGACAUUAUUUUCAUAUCAUAUGGAGGGGUGACUCUCUCCAGCCUCAAGGCUUUCCUGAGAUGCCUGGCAGGGUCAUUCCCUGAGAGAAUUCUGGGUUAAUGGCAUACAUUUAGUACAGAUGUGUUUAAUGAAAUGAGUGAAUCUCCAGGAAUCAACUGAAAAGUGAGUAUUUAGCUCAGAUCUCCC